rnacentral:rRNA from 1 species
UACGUAGGGGCCUAGCGUUGUCCGGAUUUAUUGGGCGUAAAGAGCUCGUAGGCGGUUCGGUAAGUCAGGUGUGAAAUCUCCACGCUCAACGUGGAGGCGCCACCUGAAACUGCCGUGACUCGAGUCCGGUAGGGGAGUGUGGAAUUCCCGGUGUAGCGGUGAAAUGCGCAGAUAUCGGGAGGAACACCCGUAGCGAAGGCGGGCAUCUGGGCCAACACUGACGCUGAGGCGCGAAAGCUAGGGGAGCAAACAGG